GAUGAACGCUGGCGGCGUGCCUAAUACAUGCAAGUCGAGCGAACAGACGAGGAGCUUGCUCCUCUGACGUUAGCGGCGGACGGGGGAGGAACACGUGGAUAACCUAUCUAUAAGACUGGGGUAACUUCGGGGAACAGAGGCUAAGAACGGACAGUCAAUUUAAACGCCUUGUACAAUAGUAUAGGACGGGUUUCAUGACUAUCAUUACUAGCUCCGCGCCGCAUUAGCUAGUUGGUAAGGUAACGGCUUACCAAGGCAACGAUGCGUAGCCGACCUGAGAGGGUGAUCGGCCACACUGGAACUGAGACACGGUCCAGACUCCUACGGGAGGCAGCAGUAGGGAAUCUUCCGCAAUGGGCGAAAGCCUGACGGAGCAACGCCGCGUGAGUGAUGAAGGUCUUCGGAUCGUAAAACUCUGUUAUUAGGGAAGAACAAAUGUGUAAGUAACUAUGCACGUCUUGACGGUACCUAAUCAGAAAGCCACGGCUAACUACGUG
rnacentral:rRNA from 1 species